UACGUAGGGGGCUAGCGUUGUUCGGAUUUACUGGGCGUAAAGCGCACGUAGGCGGAUUGUUAAGUGAGGGGUGAAAUCCCAGGGCUCAACCCUGGAACUGCCUUUCAUACUGGCAAUCUCGAGUCCGGAAGAGGUGAGUGGAACUCCUAGUGUAGAGGUGGAAUUCGUAGAUAUUAGGAAGAACACCAGUGGCGAAGGCGGCUCACUGGUCCGGUACUGACGCUGAGGUGCGAAAGCGUGGGGAGCAAACAGG
rnacentral:rRNA from 1 species